rnacentral:rRNA from 1 species
AUUGAACGCUGGCGGCAGGCCUAACACAUGCAAGUCGAGCGGAUGAAGGGAGCUUGCUCCUGGAUUCAGCGGCGGACGGGUGAGUAAUGCCUAGGAAUCUGCCUGGUAGUGGGGGAUAACGUCCGGAAACGGGCGCUAAUACCGCAUACGACCUGAGGGAGAAAGUGGGGGAUCUUCGGACCUCACGCUAUCAGAUGAUCCUAGGUCGGAUUAGCUAGUCGGUGGGGUAAAGGCCUACCAAGGCGACGAUCCGUAACUGGUCUGAGAGGAUGAUCAGUCACACUGGAACUGAGACACGGUCCAGACUCCUACGGGAGGCAGCAGUGGGGAAUAUUGGACGAUGGGAGAAAGCCUGAUCCAGCCAUGCCGCGUGUGUGAAGAAGGUCUUCGGAUUGUAAAGCACUUUAAGUUGGGAGGAAGGGCAGUAAGUUAAUACCUUGCUGUUUUGACGUUACCAACAGAAUAAGCACCGGCUAACUUCGUG